AUAAUGUGUCGAUUGGAUUUAUGAAGUUCUUCUUCCUCUCAAACGACGAAGCGGCGCGCUUCCUGAGCUCAUCGGAAACGGCUUCGAAACGCCACCCUUUCUUCGUAACCUCCAUCCUGUUUCCAUCCUCAAUAUAGACCUCAACACAAUCUCACUCUUCUCUCUAAUUUGGUAACAUCACAGAAAACCCUAACCUAAAUCUGAAAUUGAACGAAAAUCUCGGAGCUUCUUGAGUAAUAACCAUGGGGGACUGGUUCAGAGAAUCCAAGCUUAUGUCAUAGUGUCAAGAACAGAAGGAAGAGAUGAAGAUAGAUAGGGCUCGGAAACGUACAUGAAGCGCGAAGUGCAGAUUGUUGAAGAAAACCGGAGGGGAGAGCACCGAUACCGUUAGCAACCAAAAUUCCCUGCUCAACCAAAAUUCUGUUUCUCAGAGCACCGAUACCGUUAGCAACUCCAUCCAUCUAAAUGCACAUAUGAUACCAUCCAGGCACUUCAGCAUUGAGAGUGAGCUCACCUUAUCUUCCAUCAACGAGCCCCCGUCAGUCAAGGUCAUUAGGAAGAAGAGUAAGCUUGGGAUUAACGUUAUUAAUGAUUUGAGGAUUUUUUAAAUUGAGUUGGUGGAGAAUCAGGUGUGCCAUAAUAGGCCAGGUUAAGCAGACUGAAGCUUUGCCACUUAUUCCAUCUACUUAGAAACCUAUGGAAUCUAAGCCCAAAACUAAAGAUGAACCCAAGAAAGUGGCUAAAUCAGAGCCCGCAAAGCCCAAAGUAGAAGAAGCUGAAGAGGAGGCACCCAAGCCCAAAGCCAAGAAUCCUCUUGAUCUUCUUCCUCCAAGCAAGAUGAUAUUGGAUGAGUGGAAAAGACUUUACUCUAACACGAAGAGCAACUUCCGUGAGGUCGCAAUCAAAGAAUGUCAUGUCUAGAUGAUUAUAUUUAGAAAUUGGAGGAUAUAUACCUCAGCAAGAUGGAGAUGGUGAUGCUGGAUCUGGCGAUUUUGAAAUUGAGUGAUAGUUUUCCAAAUGAGUCAUUAAUGGUGAUUUACACAAUAUUCAAUGGCCUUAGGAAAGCAAGUGCAGCUUGGAGGUAUGUGUAUAUUGGACUGGAUCUUCAUCAUCUCUUGCUUCCUUCAUUUCCUUUUGUUUAUUGAAUAUGACUUUGAAUGUGAUAUCUUUAUUCAAUAAAAAACAAUAAAGAUAAUGGCCAUCGAUCAGGAGUCAUGUUCGGCUGGAGAGAACUAGUUUUUUUAGGGAGCAGAUCAGUAUAUAUAUAUAUAUUUGUAAUUGUAUUUUGUGUUUUGAGAAUUUGAUUGUAAACUUAGCUUUUAGAGCACUUAUAAAA